GACGAACGCUGGCGGCGUGCUUAACACAUGCAAGUCGAACGGAAAGGCCCCAGCUUGCUGGGGUACUCGAGUGGCGAACGGGUGAGUAACACGUGGGUGAUCUGCCCUGCACUCUGGGAUAAGCCUGGGAAACUGGGUCUAAUACCGGAUAGGACCGUGCUUUAGUGUGUGCGGUGGAAAGUUUUUCGGUGCAGGAUGAGCCCGCGGCCUAUCAGCUUGUUGGUGGGGUAAUGGCCUACCAAGGCGGCGACGGGUAGCCGGCCUGAGAGGGUGUACGGCCACAUUGGGACUGAGACACGGCCCAGACUCCUACGGGAGGCAGCAGUGGGGAAUAUUGCACAAUGGGCGCAAGCCUGAUGCAGCGACGCCGCGUGGGGGAUGACGGCCUUCGGGGUGUAAACCCCUUUCGGCAGGGACGAAGCUUUUGUGACGGUACCUGCAAGAAGCACCGGCUAACUACGUG
rnacentral:rRNA from 1 species